GCCUCUUUAGCUCAGUGGUAGAGCACUGGUCUCGUAAACCAGGGGUCGCCGGUUCAAUCCCGGCAGGAGGCA